GUGCUGGAGACAUUAAAUUCGGUGACAGCCUUUGGCUAUUCUGGGCUACUCUGUGGCCUUUAGAGUUAUUCUCAGAUACAGAAUGUAUAAUAGGGGAAUAUCCAUUAUCUUUUGCUUAGCUGUGGCUUUUCCCCAGAAAGAAAUGUCUGGAAAUCUAGAUUUCUAUUUAAGAAAGGAAUAGGGAAUUCAUGGGUUAGUGGGGUAUAGAUGUUUCUUUCUCCCUGGAGCACAGAUUGGCACACUUUUUCUUUGAAAGAUAAUGAAUAUUUUACUCUUUCUGGACCAUGUGGCCUCUGUCAUGACUCAAAUCAUCUAUUGUAGCUCAAAAGUAGCAACAGACUAUAAAUACAUGAUGGGUGUGUUGAUGUGUGUCCCAGUACAACUUUAUUUAUAAAAAUGGGUUUUGGCUGAAUCUGACCCACAGACUAUGGGUUGCUGAUUCCUACUCCAGACUAAUAUAUAAAUGAGUAUAUUCUCAUUUGGACAUGCAUCUGGAAUUAUUUUUGUUGUAGAUAGACUAUUUUUUAUACAUAGAUGUACUUUUCUUCCUCAGAAUGAACAGUGCUGUUCCAUGAAAACUUUGAUUAAAGAUUUUGAUUAUUCCUUGAAUUCUGGAAGUAGAAAGAUAACAAAUUCUUCUUUGUUUUAUAGAAACUUUGCCUCCCUUUUCACUUGGCAGAAUGUCAUAUUCCUCUAGAACAAACUUGAUGCUUAGAAAAUGGGCCAAAUCUUCAUGCUUCAUAGAGUAGCUCCAUACUAGCAUAGUCAUCUACUCAUUAGUGCAAAGGAAAGAGUGUGAAGUGUGUAGGUUCUCAAAACUUAGUUCUGCUAACAAAUCUGUUUUUCAUAUUGUUUCAGUAUAUCAUUCUGAGAGUGAGAACAAUGAAUCUGAAGAAGGCUCUGCAUAAUCUUCCUUUUCCACAGAAUCUGAAGAAGAAAAUGAAGAAAGUAGAGACGAAGAAAGAGCUGCAUCAGCCCAGUCAAUGCCUGUUUCUCCAAAAAGGUAAAUUGACACCAGAAAAGUGGUUGCUAGCCUUACAAGGAGUCCUGUGUUAUAGGGGAAACACCAUUGCAUUAAGGUUAAGACCACGUAGGUUAUCUCUCACCUCUCCAUGUAACAAAGUAUCUCAAAACAAGAUUAGCACUUACAUGCCUGCUCUUUGGUUCUCCUCAGAACUCAGAAAUGAAAGUGAAAAUGAAGAACCUGAGCAUAAUGCUGUAUUGGUAGGAGCAUCAAUACCAACAUGAACAGGUACUAUCUAUCCAUGGACAUAUAAUGACAUUAUUUGAGAUAGGGCAGAAUUUUAAAAAGACUUAUGGGGUAAUGCAUAGAGAACUGGAGUAAACGCCAAGAACACUGUAUAUGCUGAGCCCAUCACUGUCACUACCUAUGUGCUUUGAUGUAAAUAUCCACACCUUUCUGAGACUCAUAUUUUUAAAUGGAAUUUAAAAUUGAAGAGCAGGGAAGUAAGUGCUAAUCUUGCUUUUAACAUCUUUAAAAAAUGUGCAAAACUACAGAUACAUAAGAAACUACUAACUGCACAAAACAGAAUAAGGAAGCAGUUAAGAAAAGUACAUACAAAGUAAUAAAAACUGCAUACAAGUAACACAUGCUAUGUAGUCACCAAGGAAACUGAUCAAUUAUCAGGCUACAUUAAAGAAUUGUGGUGUAGAAUGGUAGAUGAGCAGAAGUGAUAAUACCGUCUUUCGAGUACCAUAAUUUCAAAAGUUCUGAACAAACUUAAAAAGGAAUAAAAACCUAUAACCUUUUAUCAUGGUUUUAUCCAUUUAGUAUCUAUUAAUUGAAAAUCUACUGUAUGCUGUUCUAGUACUGUGUAUGGCAGUAAGCAAGACAGACAAAGCUCCUACCCUCAUGGACUUUGCAAUGUAGUGAAGGUAUGUAUAUAAUAAACAUGUAAAUAAUAAAUGGUAUGAUUUCAGAGAAUGCAUAAAAGAGAAUUAGAUUAUAGAAAGAUGGUGUGUGUGUGUGUGCCAGGGGUGGGCAAAGGAAGGCCAGUGAGCCACGGUGGUUAGCCAUGACCUCUCCCCAGAGGUGGCAUUUCAGUACAUGCUUGAAUGUGGGGAUGGAGUUGUGCCAAACUCUGAAAAAAAAAUGUUCUCUGGAAAGGGCAAACAAGAGCAAAGACCCCGAGACAAUAAUGCUCUUGCUGUUCAGGAAGGCUACAGACAAUCUGACUGGAGAGUAGAAAAUUAGGGGGAGCAUAAGUAGCAGAGCUAUUAAAGAGUCAGGCUGGGGAUUUUAUUUGCAAUAGAAAACACGGGAUAGUUGUUGUUUUUUUUUUUUUGGACAACUGUUUAUUAGUAGUUGAUGAUCCUUAUGAAUUCCAGGAGGGUUGCAUAGCCUUUGCUCUUCCUAGCCACCUAUUACAUUUAACGUCCAUUGCUAAAACAAGUGCUUAAACUUGUAUAAGUAUUAAAGAAUAUUUUUGUGCGAGCUAAGUUUUUUAAAUAAUAAUCUUCAAAGUGAAAGAGAGCUGUUAAUCUCCCACUUUUCUUUCCCUGUCUCUUUUAUUUCCCCUUUCUUACC
ensembl:lincRNA